AGUGAACGCUGGCGGUAGGCCUAACACAUGCAAGUCGAACGGCAGCACGGUAAGAGCUUGCUCUUACGGGUGGCGAGUGGCGGACGGGUGAGGAAUACAUCGGAAUCUACUUUUUCGUGGGGGAUAACGUAGGGAAACUUACGCUAAUACCGCAUACGACCUACGGGUGAAAACAGGGGAUCUUCGGACCUUGCGCGAUUGAAUGAGCCGAUGUCGGAUUAGCUAGUUGGCGGGGUAAAGGCCCACCAAGGCGACGAUCCGUAGCUGGUCUGAGAGGAUGAUCAGCCACACUGGAACUGAGACACGGUCCAGACUCCUACGGGAGGCAGCAGUGGGGAAUAUUGGACAAUGGGCGCAAGCCUGAUCCAGCCAUACCGCGUGGGUGAAGAAGGCCUUCGGGUUGUAAAGCCCUUUUGUUGGGAAAGAAAAGCAGCAGGUUAAUACCCCGCUGUUCUGACGGUACCCAAAGAAUAAGCACCGGCUAACUUCGUG
rnacentral:rRNA from 1 species